rnacentral:rRNA from 1 species
UACGUAGGGGGCAAGCGUUGUCCGGAUUUAUUGGGCGUAAAGAGCGUGUAGGCGGCCUUACAGGUCAGCUGUGAAAACUCGAGGCUCAACCUCCAGACGUCGAUGGAAACCGUAUGGCUAGAGUCCGGAAGAGGAGAGUGGAAUUCCUGGUGUAGCGGUGAAAUGCGCAGAUAUCAGGAAGAACACCCGUGGCGAAGGCGGCUCUCUGGGACGGUACUGACGCUGAGACGCGAAAGCGUGGGGAGCGAACAGG